AAAAAACAAUUACAUAUAAUGUUGAAACUGAUGUUUUUUAGUCACCGUUUUCAUGCAGUAUCUUGUAGCUCAGCAGGAAUUAAUGCAAAGUGGUCAGACAUUUCACAAUACAUAUCGCAUGUGAAUGUUAGUACUAUGAAACUUGACAGUCAGUCAAACACAUCAAGUCAAAGUGAACAGAAGAGAGUUUACAUACUUUUUUGGUGAAACUUCCUUCUUCGUAGUUUGUUGCACUGGCCAUCGCUGUAUUGACCAUUCUCCCUCAUACGACAGUGCUGACAGAAUUGAUGAAGCUGGACUUUCCUGCACCGAUCGGCCAGUUGUUUCACUACAUCUCCUUCAGGUUCAAAAUCCUUCACAUACUGAAGAUCAUGCGAGUGUUUCUGUUCAAAUGUGCAGGAAAUAGGUUUAGGACAACAGUUUUAACAUGACUAACAGCUAACAUGCUCAGUGUGAUGCAUGAUCAUUCUUACUAUAUUCUAAGCAUUUUACCAUUCGCUAAUUAGUAUUAGAUGAAUGCGAAUUUAUUUAUAGCAUUCAAUCAAUUUAAAUUUGCUGAUUAGCACUGGACAACUUUAAAUGUUGACUUGAUGAUGGUGCUGUAUAAAAAGUCACAAGAUCACCACAGAAACUGCAAAGUAUGAAAAAGAUUUUGAAAAAGCUUUACAACUAUCCUUGAACUGAGGAGAAUGAUCAUGGGCUGCAUGCAGUGCCGCACCGGACUUUACAGUAGAGGAUCAGUGAUGAGCAGCAGUUGCUGCUCAUUGUCUCAUCAGAACUGUGACAACUUCAGGUCCUUUCUUUUUAUUUUUUUUAUAAUAGACCACAUGACUUACAAGAAUUGUGCCGCAGGUAAGUCAGGUGUUUUACAAGAAAUGGGUGGAGAGCAUGUUAUGUAAGUAAACAGCUUUUUGUAUCAACAUUCCAAUCGUCUCACAGAUCAUUCUGGAACUUCAAGUUGUGGCUACAAGAAUAUUUCUCACAGAAGCAGCAAAACCUUCUUUAAGUUCACAGCUCAGGCAGCACAGAAGGAGACAGUAAACAGUAAAGUUUGGAUUUAACAAGAACUAAAGGAUGUCUUCAAGGUCACACCAAGGAAAGUCCAAAUGAAGGUAAGUGACACUGUGCAGCCCUACUGUAGACUACAGUAGUAUGGAAAGUUUAAAAUCACUGUUAAAAGUGGUGGAAGUGAAGUAAAUAAGAUUUACUCAAACACUACUUCAAAAAAGUACACAGUAUACCACAAGCACACACAUUUAUGCUACUUUAUCCUUCAUUUCCUACAUUUCAGGGGGAAUUUUGUCCUUUACUCCACUACAUUUAUCCGACAGCUUUAGUUAAUUAUUAAGAGGAUUUUUCACAUUGGAUAAUAGAAAAGCUUUGUUGAAAAUUUAACCAGUGAUUUUCAUCCAUUUUGGCUUCUUUGAAAUAACAGUGUGUAGACAGUCUUACAUUUCUUUUGUCUAUGAGUUGUUAACGGCUUCAGAACUGAAGAAGCCUCCUGGAUGAGGUGAAACGUCUUCAAGAACCUAAAGGUUUAUUGAGUCUUUUGAUGUCCUCCAUCCUCAAGGUUUUGACCACAGACACAGAAAAAGAAAACAGUCAUGUUACAUGUUUAUGGAAACUUUUUUCACAAUAGUAUAUAUGAACUCACUGCCAAAAACAAGUCAAACAUGAUGAAUUUCAUGAUUACAACAAAAAUGCCUACAGAAGCUCAACAUGUUGCCUGUGUUUUCCCUUUCAGAAGCUGAUGUCACUGAAAGUUCCAUCUGAAAUGAAUGAAGUUGCUGAGAUUUUGUGGAAGUACUAUCCUGCCCAAAAUAACUCCCAAUAUCAAGACGUUCUACAAAACUUUGGUUAAAGUCUUCAAAGAGUCUGACUCAGAAAGCAGCAAGACAUCAACCAGUCAUGCAGGGACAGUUAAUGUCCACAAAAUAGUGACAGGAAAAACGUUUGGGGCCGAUGAAGCUCUGCUGAAACAACUGAACUGUAAGGAGCUGCAGGUGGAGAUGACAGACCGGCAGGGAUGUGACAUCAUCAUUCUCUUCUGUCCAAUCAACUCUCGUGUUGGCUCAGAUGUGGAGUCGGCCAUGAGACAAGUGUCAGGUGAAAAACGAGUGAUUCUGAUCCUGAUGCACCACACCAGAGACGUGGACUAUUCAACUGCUGCAAAAAGGUGGUCGGAAACCUCUGACUACAUCGUCUUCGAUGUCAGUGUUCUCUACCAUGAGACUGUGCCAGGAUUACUGAAGUGUUCAAAAAACAUGGAGGCAAUCAGUGACAUACGUAAAGAGUUAGUGAAGUACAGUAGCAGUACAAACCAAAGCUGUGUUUCUCAUAAAUCAGGCAAUAGUAUCAUGUCGUGUCUUCUGCAGUGAUAAACAACCUAGAAAAACAAAAGCAACAACAACAAUAAAAAGCAUACACACAGUCUAAAUGAUGACUGUCCUCAUUAGUAUAAUUUUUCAUGUAUAUAACGUGUAGUUUAGAGUCACAGAUACCUAAAUUAAACUGUGUCUACAUGAAAUCAAACCUGACAUGAAAUCCAAGUCUUAUUGGUGAGAAUGUAAUUAUGAAAUAAAAAAUAAAUCUUAUAACUGUACAACAGUUCUUGUUGAAACUCCUGCUGCUUGAUAUCACUGUAUAACUGCUGUAUGUGAAGCUGUGGAAGGACUGAUAGAUGGAGUGGUAUAUGUACUGUACUGCAAAGGUGAGAAUGUCUCUGAAAAUAAUGAAUUGCAUUUAUCAAUAUUUGUAAGCAGGAAGAAAUAUACCAUUGCAGAACAAUAUCAGCAUAAAAAAGCCUGAAAUUGUGUCACCUGA